AUGGUGGCAGCAUGCGGAUGGGGAUGGCGAUGGGCGAGGCGUACGUCGGGGGGCAGGCAGCCGGGUGGUGGCCGCGGGCCGGCGGCGGCGCAGGCGCUGGGGGCGGUGGUGCAGCUGCACUUCGACCCGCCGCUGGCGCCGCCGCGGGCGGCGGACGCGCAGAAGCAGGAGCUGUGGCGCCUCUUCCUCGCCUUCUUCCUCUUCCUCGCCAUCCUCCUCUCCGCCGUCGCACCAAGUCCCCGCCGAGUCCCGCCUCCAUGUGCCGCCACCUUCUGGCCCCCGCCGGCCUCCUCUCCCUCGCCCACCUCGCCUUCUACGCCGCCGUCGCACACCACCUCCGAUGCCUCAACGGAUUCAGGUACCAGCGGCGUUGCCACAAGCUGACCCUGGCGCUGGCGGCGGACAGGCUGCGGAUGCUCAAGUCCGGCGGCGACGUGGUGGCGGCCGCCGACGUGGAGGUGCCGUACCAGGAGCCGCCCGAGAGCUACCUGGCCAAGUUCAAGCGCAGCUGGGCCAUCCACUUCGCCUUCCUCAUCACCACCUUCGCCUUCUCCGUCGCCGCCGCCGUCGCCAUCCUCUGCUUCUAGCUCUCAGAUCUCCUCUCAACUGGACUACUCCUCCAAUCCAAUCUUACUAGUAGGAGAUUUUGAUUGAUCAUCAGAUCAGAUGAUGGAAGAGUCGUUCGUUGUUUAUCUCUACUGUAAUCCCUCCCUCUCUUUCUCUUUCUUGUCGUAUUCAUUGUGAUUUAUUAGUAGAAUGUUCUAUGUUAAUUGCCCUUCAGCGAGAGGCCCUCACAUGCAUUAUCUCAAUUGUCAGCCAGUGUCACAUUCACUCGCUCAAAUCGCGGCAGCAGCCAGCAGCCACUGUGGCAAAAGCAACUGUAUUUAUCCUUAACUACAGUAUCUAGUACUAUGAUCUCUCUUGGAGAUUGGUUAGUUUGUGAGUAAAA